GGUAAAAUGGCUGAAAUUUAGGUAAUAAACUGUAAAUUUAUUUAUGAGAGUUAAUCUCUUUUACCA
rnacentral:tRNA from 1 species